AUCCAACCAACUAUAGCUGGACCAAGUUCCAAUGGCCUCUGCUCUGUUCUCAGCACCCGUUGCUUCCUUCAAAGCCACACCAAAACCAGGGAAUUGCUUGGGCUAUCACUACAAUAAGAAUCAUUUUCGAGAUGACUUGUGCCAGAGUUCUGCAGCCACUAAAUUCGGCAAUAUAAAAGCUAAGGCUGAAAAAAGUGACCAAAGCCCCAAACCGAAUAGCGUGAUUUGUGCCGACUGUGAUGGAAAUGGUGCAGUUCUAUGCUCGCAAUGCAAAGGUAGUGGAGUGAACUCUGUUGAUCUUUUCAACGGACAGUUUAAAGCUGGAGACUCAUGUUGGCUCUGCGGAGGUAGAAAAGAGAUGCUAUGUGGAAAUUGCAAUGGAGCUGGUUUUGUUGGAGGUUUUCUGAGCACUUUUGAUGAAUAGAAAUUAGAAAUUGUGUGCUGGAUGAAGAGUAUUUGUUCCAUGCAUAGAAGUAUGAUUUGGUCCAGUAUCCUCAGAGUUAGAGCGUGUGUAUAUGUUUGUGCAUACAAAUCAGAAUUGCCUGCGAAUCUUGACCUAAUUAGGUAGGAGAUGGAAGAUCCUGCAACCUGAAGAGGCAGUGCAAAUUUGGAAAAGUUGUUCAGUUUGAUUUGGAUCCAAAAUUGACUGGGAUUUUUCUUUGCCAAGCAUUGCUUAAAUUGCCUUUUGAUUUAUUCAGCACUCCAAAGACCAUUGUCCUUA